GCUUCUAUGGUCUAGUGGUUAUGACUCCGGAUUUUGAUUCCGGCAACCCCGGUUCGAAUCCGGGUAGGAGCU